AAAAAAACCACCUGCUUUCACCUGAAACCCCAGAAGGAGAAGUUCCCUCCCAGCAACUUCCUCCCUGGCUAGAGCAUCUCUUCCCAGCUGUCUCCAAGUGUCAGGCCCUCCCCAUAAAUAGAGGAGGUGAGGGAGGACAGGAAGGCUGCUUCAUCCCAUUUUGGAGGCUCCCGGCCAUACUGUGCAGGUAUUUGAGAGGCCAGCUGGAGCCCUCACCCUAUAGAAAGUGCUGAGAGGAGAUAACCCCAAAAAACCCAUGCCCAAAAGGAAAGUCAUUCCCUUGUUGGAGAAACUAUGCCUGGAGAAUGUGGUUACAAAUAUGAAAAGGCUAUGGGUUAAGGUUUACUUGAUGAAGUUACUUGAUCCCAGGAAUCGCGACCAUGACACUAUCACAGGACCCUUCAGCAUGCUGGCCGGCUCCCUUCUCCAGGAACUGCUUGAGAUCAUGCGAGAGAGAAGACUUCUGACCCCAUUUAUACUUCACAAUCUCCUUUUGCCACAACUAAAGUCACUGAAUUUGAAUUACUGCUCAUCUUAUGUUGACAACACUCUUGCUCACACCAUCACAGUACGCUGCAAGAAUCUUUCCUCGCUGACUCUUUGUCACUGCGACCAGAUCCCUGCGGAUACUUUGGUUGAGCUUGUGAAAGCUCUGCCAUGCCUCACCAAACUACACCUUUCAUCCACCCAGUGCAACACACAAGUACUUUCCGCUAUUCGCUCUUUCUGUCCUGAAAUUAAUGAACUGGACAUCAUCAGCUGUAAGAAACUAUCUGCAGAUUCCCUCCUUCACUUGGUCUAUGACCCUGUUGCAAGAUCGUACUGUUGCCAGUCAUUGCAGAGGCUCAGAGCUGAAGGACUGACGCCCACCACUGACUUGCAGAGCUUGCUUUCGGUUCUGGUCUUUGUGCUUCUAGCAUUGCCCAAGCUGAAAUAUUUUUUUCAUAAUUUUGUUCCAAAAGCUGUAUGUCUGAUCUAUGACCAGGAAUUUCAUGGUGCCCAGAUGCCUGCUGGGUUUCCAUCCCUGGAGGAAGUGGCACGGUACAGGACAUCUACUCACCCAAAUGAGGGAAGUGGCAGAUUCACACUUGCCCUCAGGAAAAUUGAUUGGAUGCUGUUUUCCUUGUUGCCUAAGAUCGGUGCUGUGUGCCCUCACCUCUUGGAAAUCACCAUGAUUCUUAGAGACAGCUGGGACUUGGAUCCACACGUCUUGCCAUGGCACAAUCUUACCCAUGUCACUUUUUGUUCCGAUGAAAGGAUGGACUUGAAGGAGCUCUUACCUGUGACAGCUAACAUUGGGCCUCAAUUUAAAUAUCUUGCAGUGGAUGGAUUUAUCUUUAAAGAUGAGCUGACCCUCCACACCUUGCUGAGCCAUUGCCCAAAUCUCUUGAAAUGUAUGUUAUUCCUCCCCUCUCCAGAGAGAAAUGAUCGUCAGAGUCAGCAACAGAAUGAAGCCAGAGCAAGGAACUUGUGCUUUCCUCCUCUCCAGUUCCCUGAGCUUGUAAGCAUUUGCCUGGUGUACAAUGAUUUAGGUAAUCCACUGCCUUCUCUGUAUAAAGUGGUUUUGGGAAAUAUCAUUGAAUCAGUGUUCAAAUAUUCUCCAUGCCUGGAGAUCUUGCAUCUAUUCUGCCUGCCUUUCUCUCUGGAUGAGGCAUUUCAGAAAGCACUAACACCGCCUAGUACUGCCUUGCAAAGUCUUCGGGAGCUUGAACUGGUUCGGGCCCGGAUAUCAAUUCACACCAUCAACUUGCUGGUUUUCUCUGAGAAUCAGCUGAGUCUCAUCUCCUUGGAAAAAUGUUUCCAUAUAAGCCGGGUGGACUAUAAUGAGCUCCUCCAAAGAGUCAGGAAAGAGAACUUGGAAGUAGUUAUUACAAGGGAAUGAAAAAAAACCCCAACCCUCUCCACUUGCUCGGAAUGGCAGCUCCAUUGCUCAUAGGGCCAGGACAGGAUGUUUAUUUUUUUUAAUAAAGCUUGUUUUAUACUAUUCAAUUUUUUGUCUCUGAAUUAUAUUGUGUUCAAAACACAGGAAGAAUUGAGUGUUCCAGAGGGACCGAAACAACAUGUGGAGGAUCAAAAUGGGUUUGUUUGCUACUCUCACCUACAUUCUUAUUAUCUCCUCCCCCUGGCUUUAAAACAGGAAUAAAAUC
rnacentral:lncRNA from 11 species